UGGCGGCGUGCUUAACACAUGCAAGUCGAACGGAUUUAUUUGAAAGCUUGCUUUUGAAUAACUUAGUGGCGGACGGGUGAGUAACGCGUGGGUGACCUGCCUUAUACUGGGGGAUAACACUUAGAAAUAGGUGCUAAUACCGCAUAAGCGCACAGUUCUGCAUGGAACAGUGUGAAAAACUCCGGUGGUAUAAGAUGGACCCGCGUCUGAUUAGCUGGUUGGUGAGGUAACGGCUCACCAAGGCGACGAUCAGUAGCCGGCCUGAGAGGGUGAACGGCCACAUUGGGACUGAGACACGGCCCAAACUCCUACGGGAGGCAGCAGUGGGGAAUAUUGCACAAUGGGGGAAACCCUGAUGCAGCGACGCCGCGUGAGUGAAGAAGUAUUUCGGUAUGUAAAGCUCUAUCAGCAGGGAAGAAAAUGACGGUACCUGACUAAGAAGCCCCGGCUAACUACGUGCCAGCAGCCGCGGUAAUACGUAGGGGGCAAGCGUUAUCCGGAAUUAUUGGGCGUAAAGAGUGCGUAGGUGGUUACUUAAGCGCGGGGUGAAAGGCAAUGGCUCAACCAUUGUUAGCCCUGCGAACUGGGUUACUUGAGUGCAGGAGAGGAAAGCGGAAUUCCUAGUGUAGCGGUGAAAUGCGUAGAUAUUAGGAGGAACACCAGUGGCGAAGGCGGCUUUCUGGACUGUUACUGACACUGAGGCACGAAAGUGUGGGGAGCAAACAGGAUUAGAUACCCUGGUAGUCCACACCGUAAACGAUGAGCACUAGGUGUCGGGGAAGCAAUUCUUCGGUGCCGCAGUUAACGCAUUAAGUAUUCCGCCUGGGGAGUACGGUCGCAAGAUUAAAACUCAAAGGAAUUGACGGGGGCCCGCACAAGCAGCGGAGCAUGUGGUUUAAUUCGAAGCAACGCGAAGAACCUUACCUAGACUUGACAUCUCCUGCAUUACCCUUAAUCGGGGAAGUUCCUUCGGGAACAGGAAGACAGGUGGUGCAUGGUUGUCGUCAGCUCGUGUCGUGAGAUGUUGGGUUAAGUCCCGCAACGAGCGCAACCCUUAUUGUUAGUUGCUACCAUUUAGUUGAGCACUCUAGCGAGACUGCCCGGGUUAACCGGGAGGAAGGUGGGGAUGACGUCAAAUCAUCAUGCCCCUUAUGUCUAGGGCUACACACGUGCUACAAUGGCAAGUACAAAGAGACGCAAGACCGCGAGGUGGAGCAAAACUCAAAAACUUGUCUCAGUUCGGAUUGUAGGCUGAAACUUGCCUACAUGAAGCUGGAGUUGCUAGUAAUCGCGAAUCAGCAUGUCGCGGUGAAUACGUUCCCGGGC
rnacentral:rRNA from 1 species